rnacentral:misc_RNA from 1 species
AGUCAUGAUCUCGUCUAUAGGCUUAGCCACCUGUCUGGAUUGUUUUUAGCAGGAAUCGGCUGUUCAGGAUUGAGAAAGAAGGUUAACUAGAAUGGACUAGUCCUAGAUGAUUUUAGGCAAUGUCGGAUCAAAACGGUUCAGGACCAGUUUCAGUCUAGUUCAAUGGUGGUUUUGAUCUUGAUUUCAGUUCCUUUUUUAAACGGUUCAAUUCAUUUGGCAUCUCUCUACAUUGGAUACAUCAUUUUUUUCUUUUUUCAAAAAAGCAAUACGAUUCAAAUUGGAAUCAAACCACCAGGCCAAACUGUCGGUUCCAAUUCAGGUUUGAGAGGAGGGGGG